rnacentral:rRNA from 1 species
CGGGAGUAACGCGUGGGUAACCGUGCCUCAUACAGGGGAGUAACAGUUAGAAAUGACUGCUAAUACCGCAUAAGCGCACAGUGCUGCAUGGCACAGUGUGAAAAACUCCGGUGGUAUGAGAUAGACCCGCGUCUGAUUAGCUAGUUGGUGGGGUAACGGCCUACCAAGGCGACGAUCAGUAGCCGGCCUGAGAGGGUGAACGGCCACAUUGGGACUGAGACACGGCCCAA